rnacentral:lncRNA from 1 species
CUCCACCAGUCCCGCCGGGACCGAGGCGACACCCUUCUGGAGUCUCCACCUGCUGCACCCCGAGAAGAUGUGCGGUACCCAGCCUGCGGAUUCAUACGGCGAAUAAAACGAGGUAGACUUACCAGCACUUCCCCUCGGGGUUCUGAUGGCAGUCAAGCUUGUGAACAAACGACACGUGGGCCUCAAGGACCUCAAGACUGUUGUGAGAAUUUCAGUCUAACCAGAAGCGACGAGGCCCAAUCCAGACAGUGAACCGGGCUUAGCAGUACUUCUCAGCGCAUUCAUAUGGAUUGGCUGGAGGCGGAGGAGAGAACCAUAAUAUAAACAUGUUGUCUUCGACCCACUUUUGAUUAUCAAAUCAUGAGGAUUGUAAGAAUGACCAGCCUGGCUACUAACACAGCCCAGUUGAGUCCCCUUUCUUCUAUUUUCUCAUUUUUGUUUGUAUACAAAAUGUUUUUUUUUUUUAUGACAUCCUCAUACAUAUUUAAUCACUGUAGCUUACACAUAUUCAAUCACCCAUUAGCCCUUUUUUUCUGUGGGCCCGUCUUCUUCCCCAAUAGUCUCCCUUUGACUUCCAUAUCAGAUAGGUAGAGAUCUGCCUCAAAAUAAAACAUGUAACAUUUGUCUUUCUCCCAUUACCCUCUCUUGUCUCCCCUCCCUUCUCCCCUUAAAUGCCUUCUACCUACAUAGUCCACCUUCAGCUCUCAUGUCAUUUAUUUAAAAAUCUUCAUUCUGCAUAUAAUAGAAAAAUGUCUUUCUGGAUCUGGCUUGAUUCGUUUAACAUGGUGAUCUCUAGUCCUCUCACUUUUCUGGGAAUGUCAUAAUUUUGUUGUUCUUUACUGCUGAAUAAAACAACAUUGUGUGUGCACGUGCGCGCACGAGUUCCAGGAAAGGCUCCAAAGCAACAAAGAGAAACCCUGUCUUGGAAAAAAAAAUGUUUUAUUUAUUCAUCUUAUUUUGUGUGAGUGCUUUGUCUGUAUGUAUGUUGUACACCACAUGCAUGCCUC